GACGAACGCUGGCGGCGUGCUUAACACAUGCAAGUCGAACGGAAAGGCCCUGCUUUUGUGGGGUGCUCGAGUGGCGAACGGGUGAGUAACACGUGAGUAACCUGCCCUUGACUUUGGGAUAACUUCAGGAAACUGGGGCUAAUACCGGAUAGGAGCUCCUGCUGCAUGGUGGGGGUUGGAAAGUUUCGGCGGUUGGGGAUGGACUCGCGGCUUAUCAGCUUGUUGGUGGGGUAGUGGCUUACCAAGGCUUUGACGGGUAGCCGGCCUGAGAGGGUGAACGGCCACAUUGGGACUGAGAGACGGCCCAGACUCCUACGGGAGGCAGCAGUGGGGAAUAUUGCACAAUGGGGGGAAGCCUGAUGCAGCAACGCCGCGUGCGGGAUGACGGCCUUCGGGUUGUAAACCGCUUUCGCCUGUGACGAAGCGUGAGUGACGGUAAUGGGUAAAGAAGCACCGGCUAACUACGUG
rnacentral:rRNA from 1 species